rnacentral:rRNA from 1 species
UCAGACGAUGCGUCAUGCAUAUCAAUAAGCGGAGGAAAAGAAACUAACAAGGAUUCCCCUAGUAGCGGCGAGUGAAGCGGGAAGAGCUCAAAUUUGAAAUCUUAAAGGGUUUCCCUUUACGAAUUGUAGUUUAAAGAAGUGUUUUCUGUUGAGGUUUUGGUAAAAGUUCUUUGGAAUAGGACAUCAUAGAGGGUGAGAAUCCCGUAUUUGACCUUUACUUUCAACUUUGUGAUACACUUUCAAAGAGUCGGAUUGUUUGGGAAUGCAGUCCAAAAUGGGUGGUAAAUUUCAUCUAAAGCUAAAUAUUGGCGAGAGACCGAUAGCGAACAAGUACCGUGAGGGAAAGAUGAAAAGAACUUUGAAAAGAGAGUUAAACAGUACGUGAAAUUGUCAAAAGGGAAGCGUUUGACACCAGUGUUGUUUUUCUGAAAAUCAAUUAAAGAACUGUUUAUGCUAAGCUGUUUAGACUUUAUCAGCUAUCUGUUUAGUUUUGAGCUUUUCUUUAAUGCACUUUUCAGUUAACAAGUCAACAUCAAUUUCUUUUGCUGUAAAAAAGCUUGAGGAAGGUGGCUUGAGAUUCGUCUUAAGUGUUUAUAGCCUCUUGCCUAUGCAGUCGGAGAGAUUGAGGUCUGCAGCGUAGAUCCUUCGGGGCUAAAUGCAUUUGUGCUAAGUUAUAGCAUUUUAUAGACAACUUGUUGACUAUGAUUUGUCUUGUAGCUUACUCGCUUAUGUUAUUUUACCUACGCUUAGGAUGUUGACACACGCGCGUGCUCG